rnacentral:misc_RNA from 1 species
GAUGAAGAACGCAACGAAAUGCGAUAAGUAAUGUGAAUUGCAGAAUUCAGUGAAUCAUCGAAUCUUUGAACGCACAUUGCGCCCCUUGGUAUUCCGGGGGGCAUGCCUCUUCCAGCGUCAUUUCACCCCUCAAGCUCUGCUUGGUUUUGGGCCGCGCCGGCAACGGCGGGCCUCGAAAAUAGUGGCGACGCCAUCGUGCUCUCAGCGUAGUAAUUCUUCUCGCUGUUGGGUCCCGGUGGUCGUCCGCCAGCAACCCCCAACUUUCUUAAGUUUGACCUGGGAUGAGGUAGGGAUACCCGCUGAACUUAAGCAUAUCAAUAAGCGGAGGA